rnacentral:lncRNA from 1 species
CGAGUUGUAAAAUACCAGCUCUACAAGAAGCUAGGCUCUGUGACGGCAUAGUUUUCAGUAGCUUUAUCACAAUAUUCACAAUGGAGAAUUAUAUGACAUGGUAGCAGAAAUAGGCCCUUUUAUGUGUUGCUUCUAUUUUACCUCAAAUUGUAGAUAUAGGGUAAUCAAUAAAAUCCAUCCAUGCCUUUCACACACUAAGUCAUUGCUCUCUC